AUAUUAUCCUAAAAUAACUAUAUGUUUGAGAUGCUAAACCUAUUUCAAAUGUUUAAAUUCUUUCUCCAUCAUACAAUCUGUCUAUUCUUACCUAACAACCUUGCUGUGUAUUAACCAAGGUUGUUACGCCAUCUAGGUACCGGAUCCUGUACCAAUACCAUCCUAUUGUAGUAUCGAUACAUAGUCUGGUAUGAGAUGGCGAGGCAUAUCGAGCAUCGGUGCGAUAUGAGAUUAUAUACUGGUAUGAUGGGUAUAGUAUGGUAUCGACUGGUAUUAACAUUCAUUGAAUCAUCUCGAAUCAGACAGUUCAGGACGUUCCAAGCCGUACUGAUGGCAAAUCGGAAUGGUUCAGUUGGACAAAUCAAAACACCAGACAAGGGAGAGGGAAAGAGGGGUAGAGAGAGAGGAGAGGAUGGAAAGAGAAGAUGACACCAUCGGAGGUCGGUGGUGGCCGGUCGAGGCUGCUGGAGGUUCGCGGAGCCUUCCGUGGCUUGGGUCGUCCGAUAGGAUGUUUAAUUGAGAGAGAUAGAGAGAGGGGGGAGCAACGAUAUCGAAGGAAGAUGUAGCUAGCAGAGAGGUCGUUGGAGGGCACAGGAUGGCUGCCGUGGCCAUUGGGCGGUGAAAAGUGCACGGAUGGAGAUGCGGCUGCAGAAUAGGGG
rnacentral:lncRNA from 1 species